GACUUCAUGAGCCUGAGCCAGCGACCCAGGGCAAUCCGGAUCAGAUACGAGCACAAGCCUAAUAAAGGAGUAGGUCCAAUCACUCACCAACUCUGUUCGCAUGCGUGCCAUGGUAAAUUAAAUGGCAGCCUGCGUGGAGAAGGGGCUUGACACGUCCGUACGCAUGAGCCUGAAGGACACAGACAAGUAACACUAUAGACGUGAGGGGGGACAGGAAAAAGAUGGAUCUCUCCUCUCUCCUCUGGUUUUGGCUUCUUCUUCUUCUUCUUUUUGAGG
rnacentral:lncRNA from 1 species